CUCAGUCUGGACGGACCCGAGCAUACCGGGGACAAAGGGCGGGUCCGGGCGGGCGUUCCACUUCGAGAAGGGCGACCUUUAAUGGGGGAUCCGAGCGAAAGAAGCCUUCAGAAACUGGCUGGGAAAAAAAGGAGUUUGUGCCAGAAAUGCUGCUGUAAGAUUAUGCCAAGCUUCUCUCCUCCAAAAUCCCACUAGACUCCAGGACAAUGCUUUAUUCAUGUUUGGAUCUCCCAAAGUACCCAGCUGGAUACUUGACACAAAAUGUCCCCAAACAGAAGAAAUCUUAAGAAAUUCCUACCUUCUUGCCUGCUCCAAGUCCACAGAGUUAAAUAAAAGUUUGUAACUAUAUCAAAUCAGGAAAUAGUAACUAAUUUGUAAAACAGGUAAAGUUUAUAGUAAUAUGAAGAGAACAAGUGAUAAGUCUGAAAAUGCUACAUGGAU